rnacentral:lncRNA from 1 species
CCCAAGACUGGACUGGAGGGCCAGGCGGGAGUAAUUACUGUGUCCUUACGUGGAAAUGGACAACAUCUCAGAGCCACAGGGGCGGUCAGGGGCGGUCCUCCGGGUGCCCUCUUGAAGCUGGCCAGCUCUGACUUUUCUGGUCUAGCCCUCCAGGCAGGACCGAGGGUCCGAGACAGGAGACAAGUCUUUCAUUUCUCUCUCUCUCUCCCUCCUCUCUCUUUCUCUCUCUAGCUUCCAAGGGUGCAGCUGGAUGCUCCACCACUGUAAUCCACAUCAGAAGCCGCUUGGACAUGCAUUCCGACGUCAUCAGGGAUCUACUUUCAAUUAAUCGUCAACAAGAAGCUGGCAUUGCCAGAGCAGGUUGGGCGGCGGCGGCGGCGGCGGCGGCGGCGGCGGCUACUAGGCCACGGGGGGCCUCAAGACGUGAUCCUGGGAGGUAUCCACGGCCGUCGGCGGCAGCCACUGCCACAUGGCCAAGGGCGGCGGAUAGCUCGCGAAAGGCACGUUCUUGGUGCAGGCGACGUACGCCGCAGGGUGGUGCGGGACGAACGGCGGAGCGCGCGGCGGCAUGCCGGCGUCGUUCAGCACCUGCUCCAUCCGGUCUUUCUCGGCCUUGAGCUUCACCUUCUCGUCCCGCAGCUCCAUCUUCUCCGCCUGCGAACCACAGAGAGACGGCCGAGUGGGCAUGGAUAUGAGCAGCCGAAGCCGAUCGGACUGGAAGAAGAUAAUCGCACGCAGAGGCCCCUCCUCUCUCUCUCUCUCUCUCUCUCUCACCUUUAGAACCUUAAUGGUACUCUGCAGAGCCUCGUUCGAUUCUCUGAGCUUCUCCGCCUCGAGGCGCAGCUGGGCCAGGCGGCGGGUGGCGUCGCUCAAAAUGGCGGCUUUGUCGACCUUCGG